GACAACUGUCGGAUAUGGAGACAUAUAUCCUGUCACAACACUCGGUUGUAUUGUGGGUGCUUUAUGUGCACUCUCUGGAAUAAUUAUUUUAGCAGUGCCUAUCGCUAUUGUAGCCGGUAACUUCACAACGUAUUACAAGAAAUAUACGGAGUUUCAAAUGAUAAAAGGAAAAGAAGAUGAUAGACCUUUAAAUCGAUCACAAA
rnacentral:lncRNA from 1 species